GGAAAUUCAAUGUCAUACAGGUAUGCAUUCCUCUGAAAAUCAAGAUUUUUGUGGUAAAGUUAGGUGAUGAUGAUGACAACAUAAGAUGCAAUCAGAAUCAUCUGAUACCAUUGAGGGGCAUCGUUCUUUAUUUUUGAUUACCUAUCCACUUCAAUGCAUGAUGUGGUGUCAAGGGCUUGCACAUAAUUUAUGUAUAUUAAUGGUGUUAUAAGACGGCUAUCACAUCCGAUAUAAAUUUAUUAACUUUGUGGUAAGGAUAAAGGGAUAGAAUUUUUUCCGUGGGUAAUCUUUUAAACUUAGACUCCGCUCACUAGCUAGUCCACCAUAUUUUUUGCGAAUGGGGCUAAUUGUCUACCCCAUGACCAUAAGUUGAGUCAUGGGACGAAAGUGGACAAUACGAUUUUCUGAUUUUAUCCUAUCAUGAGGGAAGCUAAUGAAUAUGUUGCAUCAGGACAAG
rnacentral:misc_RNA from 1 species